UGGGGAAUAUUGGACAAUGGGGGAAACCCUGAUCCAGCAAUGCCGCGUGGGUGAUGAAGGCCUUCGGGUUGUAAAGCCCUUUUGGCGGGGACGAUGAUGACGGUACCCGCAGAAUAAGCCCCGGCUAACUUCGUGCCAGCAGCCGCGGUAAUACGAAGGGGGCUAGCGUUGUUCGGAAUUACUGGGCGUAAAGGGCGCGUAGGCGGCUUGGCAAGUUGGGCGUGAAAGGCCUGGGCUUAACCCGGGAAAUGCGCUCGAUACUGCCGAGCUAGAGUGUGGGAGAGGAUGGCGGAAUUCCCAGUGUAGAGGUGAAAUUCGUAGAUAUUGGGAAGAACACCAGUGGCGAAGGCGGCCAUCUGGACCACAACUGACGCUAAGGCGCGAAAGCGUGGGGAGCAAACAGG
rnacentral:rRNA from 1 species